rnacentral:lncRNA from 1 species
GAUGAUCCACAAAAUGAUUCAGCACCUUCCAUUAGGUCAGUAGCUGCAAUGGUGCCAAUGCGAAGCCCUGCUACUGGUGGCUCAUCAGGAGCAUCUGUGGGUAGUGGCUGGGGUGGUUCAAACAGCGAGGGUGGUUGGAGAGGUCCCUCGUAUGAUAGGGACCGGUCUUCUACUCCUGGUUCCAGAACAGGUAUGAGAUUUUAAAUUCAGCUCUAGUUUGAGGUGAAUCUAAUUAUUUUGUUUGGAUUUCUUCUGCUAGUAUUGCGCCUGCUUUGACAUUAAAUAUAAUUAGUUAUCAUGAAUCCUCUUGUUAUCAACAUGUUGAUUGGUUCCUUCUUCUGUGCAUUUUGUUCUACAUCUACCUGUUCUCUUUGUCUGCAGUUCACAUAUCAUUCAACUAAUUGCUUCCGCAUGUCAUUUUUCUAGUUCUUUUUAUUCAAAAUUAACUGUUUCUUUAUUUUUACAGGACGACCUGAUUACAGAAAUAAUGGGAAUCGAGAUGAACACCCUAGUGGAUUGCCUCGUCCAUAUGGUGGUGGUCGAGGGCGUGGUCGCGGUUCUUAUAGUAAUAAUAGUAGAGGACACAACUCCAACCACGAAAGACGUGCCGGUGCAACCAGAUGGGGAUCUGCUGUGAAAGACGGGGAUGACAGUUUAAGCAACUUCCCAGGGGCUAAGGUUCAAAAUUCCCCUGGAAGAGAAGCAUUUCCAGGUGGUUGGGGAGGUGGAGCUAGUGGUGGUGACAAAAGUGGCUGGGGAGGUGGAGCUAAUGGUGGUGACAAAAGUGGCUGGGGAGGUGGAGCUAGUGGUGGUGACAAAAGUGGAUGGGGAGGUGGAGCUAGUGGUGGGGACAAAAGUGGCUGGGGUGCUGGUCCAAGCGAUGCUGAACAGGGAAACUCUGGUUGGGGAACUGGAUCCAAGAAAGCCGGAGACAAUGGAUGGUCUGGAAACUGACCGGGCGGAAUCCACAGAGCAUUCACAUUCAUCUGUAAUUUCUCUUUAAAUCCACUCAUUUGAAUGAUAAAAUGUGGAUUAUUAAUUUAUUAGAGUAAUUGUAGUUGAUCUUGACUAUGGAACUCUGCAUUUCGUUUUCACAUUAAAAUUUCGAUUAUAUGUUCAUCGAACGACAACUGUCGAAUAUGAUUUAUAGUUUACUAAUAAGAUAAGAGGCCUGGUUGCUCGAGCUGGUGCGGAGGGGAACCUCCCGCUGUACAGGCCAUGAUAAUUUUAUGGCAGAAUUUGAUCUACGUAGCCGACCCCAUUCAGUGAGAUAAAUCUUGAUUGUUGUUAUCUGAUGUGUGUAAUAUCAAAUUGAUAUGCUUAACUGACGUAUGACGUUUUCACAGUUGCAGCUUUUCUACCGAUGGAAGUACUAAAGCGCGGAGAACUUUAGCGAUCAUAAAGCCGGAUGGAUUGCUCGGUAACUACACAGAUGAUAUCAAGAGAACAAUUUCAGAAUAUGGUUUCAGCAUUGUCAAGGAACAGAUUGUUCAACUUGGCGAGGCGACUGUGAAAAGAUUUUAUGCAGAACACUCUUCAAAAAGCUUCUUUUCAAGCCUAGUUAAAUACAUGACAAGGUUCGUCCAUUUUAAGGCCAAACUCCGUUCCGCUGAGCAAUUUUUUUUCAUAUUGCUAAUGGAUUCGAUCAAUAAGCACACAUGUCUAGCUUCAUCACUAUGUCUGAUAAUGUUAUCGGUUCAUCCAUAUGAUUUCUGUUUAAUUGCAUGUUUAUAGUCUUUUAUCAUCUUUAAUCUUCUCUUUUGCUUCUCCAUAACUAUAAUCAGUGGACCAGUGUUAGUCAUGGUUUUGGAAAAGGAUAAUGUUGUUGCUGAUUGGCGCGCUUUAAUGGGUCCUACUGAUGCAAGCAAGGCCAAGAUUACUCACCCUCACAGGUUUCCAUAAACAUGUUUACUAAUCAAACUAAUUUUGCUUGUUUAAUCGAUUUCUCUAUGCUUAACUUGUUUAUUAAUUUGAACAGCAUUAGAGCAAAAUGUGGAUUGGACACUGAAAAAAAUUGUGUUCAUGGUUCAGACUCUACCAAAUCUGCACAAAGAGAGAUACUAUUUUUCUUCGACGAGCUCGCUCCAGGUGAGUAAUUUUACUCGAGAAUUCAUAAUAUAAAGAUACUUGCUUAUUUAAGUAUUCUUUUGAGAAAGAUUAUAUUCGAAUUAUCAUAAACCUUUGCCUCACCAAUUCUUAUGGCAGAUGCAAUUACAGAACACGAUGAAUUAAUGCGCAUAGUUUAUAGUUUUGGCAUCUGUCAUGAACAUCCUGGCACAUUUGUAUUGACUUACAUAAGAAGUACAAAUCCACACCAUGAGUACAUUGGUCUUUACCCCAAAGGAUUCAGGUUCCGCAAAAAGAUGUUUGAGGAUAUUGACCGGCUUGUGGCAUAUUUUCAAAGGCACAUCGAUGAUCCACAAAAUGAUUCAGCACCUUCCAUUAGGUCAGUAGCUGCAAUGGUGCCAAUGCGAAGCCCUGCUACUGGUGGCUCAUCAGGAGCAUCUGGUGCAGUAGCUGCUGGUGCAGUACCUUUAAUUUAAGAGUCCUAGGUCAGAAAAUAAUGCCUCGUUACGACUACAAAUCUUGACUCUCUAAGUAGCAACGGUACACGGAAAUUACACUUUGUUCUCGUGUUCUAAUUAUCUAAACUAAUUUUAUUGUUUUUCCUACUCCAUGACAUCAAACCAUUCUCAUAGCCUUAGAUAAACAUCGUGAGAAUAGAUAACGAUAUUUGAUACAGCUAUAUGUGGGAUUGAUAAAUCUUUUAUACUAUAACUGAUAUUAUCUUGGAUUUUUUUCCUAUUGUCCACAAGUUCAUGUAAUAUGAAGUGUAUCAAAAGACAUGGAAUCAAAUCAAAUUGAUGUAUGAAUUAUCGUUGUGUCAAUAACUAAUUUAUUGAAGAAAUAUUUAGUUUUGAUUGCAAGGUUGUCUCAAAUGACAUUGUAGUCUAUUUUGUGUUCAAAUUUAUGAUGUAUCAAACAAGAUUGUAUUAAAUGAUAUUGUGAAAAAUUAUGGUUUAUCAACAUCCAUGCUACUUGAUUAAACAAGAAGUGAAAACCCAACACUAAUAAGCAUAUCAUAAUCAACAUACACAUACAUAACAUCUCAAUUAAAUUUGAAUUAAUCGAAAACAAAAACAAAGUAAAAUAAAAAACACUUAAACCAUAACGCGUGAACCUUUCUAUCCAUCUAUCACCAUGACCCACAACAUACAUACAUCAAAUUAACACAAAGUGUAACAGAUUUCCGUCUAUACUCAUCUCAACCUUACACUCAAUUGAUUCACGAGGAAUGCUAAAUCAUUACAUGGAUUACCACAAAAAAACUCUCUUCCAAAAAAAUCACUCUAACUGAAUUCUUUCCCUCUCUCAAUUCACUUAUAAAUUUACAUCAAAUGUUUAGCAUCGGCCUUGACUUCAACACUAAUAGCAUCCAUUUUACGUCACUAAUGGAGGACGUAAACAUGUUUAGUCAUUUAUUUUUUUUAUCUUCACCUACUAGGAUAAAUUAUAUUACAAUAAAACACACUCAUAAUAUGGUCCUCUAAGCCAUCAUCAAAAGAAACAUCACACAAUCUAUUAUUAUGAAAUGCCAAGGAUUAUAAAAGAGCAUAAACUAACAUAAAUUUGAAUAAGUAUAUAUAGUCCAUAUCAUUUUCUCAUCUUCCUCAUUUUUAUGUAUUUGAUUAUUAAGCAAAAACGUAGACGUAGUGGACCUUUGAGAAUUGAGUCAAAAAGUAAGCGGAUUAAUACCUUCCUACUUUUCAUAACCAUAAAAUACCUCACAUAGUAUUUUAGGAUUAUUUUAUCUAUUUUUUAUUAUAUUAUAUUUGGUAUUUUGUGGUUGUGUUAGGUAUUUAACUGUAGUAGAGAUUUUAUGCGAAGCGAAAACGGAACAAAACAGCAAAAAUCGGAAGAAAAUGCCAAGACUGUGUCAUGGAUUUUCAGAACACCACAAAUUCACCCACUACAGCAAUACCUUGAAGGCUUUCUCCCACUUUUCUUCCAUUAUUCAUACUGAUUUUGUGGUGUUAAGUAAUCGAAAUUCCUCCUAUAAAUUAAUCAGUGGUUUAAGCUUUGGUGUUUAUCUUGAAGCAAGUUUUAUAUUGGCACAUUUAAUUUCCACGAGUUUUAUUUUUCUGUAUUGUAUUUAAAACUCCAAUUUUUAGCAAAUUACCAGUUUAUUUUUGAGGUUUUUUUAAUUUGAUUUCUGUUUCAAUUAUUAUUAAUUCAUUUUAUUGUUUGAAGCUUUACAUGUCAUUUUACUAAUUACCUUUAAUCUUAUUUAGUUGUUAUUUUAAUAUGCCAAAUUUAUAUGGAUUAUUCUUCUUAUCUUACCAUUUAAUUAUCAAAUUAUAUUUCAGUGCUAUACUACUUUCAUAAACAUAUAUAUUUGUUUACUGUUAUGUUAUUUCUAUUUAUGCUUGUUCACGUGUUCAAUAUGCUAGCUUAAAUUACGAGAGUCUGGAUGUGAGAACGUCAUACCGACGAUCUCACAUGAAUCACACUAUAACUGAUGUGUAACGGAGAAUUGUUUUUGGUCUUGAAAAUUGGUUUUCAUAACACGUUUGUGCAAUGCGAUGCAGUGCCAAAACGGAAGUCAUGUAUAGCACCUUUUCAGUAAGGGCAGGUCUGGUGGAGGUUGCAAAGCAGGUUUGGGUCUUAGUUCUGAGCAAUUCGUAUUAUGUCUAUCUGAUAGUUAAGCUGGUACGUAUGUUUGUCUAACCAAACCUUUUAUAUAUAAUCACACAAGACUUGCAUAUCAUUAGAAAAACAAACAUAAUGACAAAAAAAUAACAAAUAAAACAAAAAAAUUGGUUUUUUAUUAUCCAUUGUUAGGGUUUCGAAUUUUGAAAUUCGGAUAAAAUUUCAUUUGUUUGUUAUAAACCAUCAUGAUUUUUAUUUAUUUUUUAAUAUUAUAAUUAUAUAAUUUUUAUUAUUCUUUUUAAAUAAAUCUUAUUAUAUUAUUAAUUAUUUUAAAAAAUUAAAAAGUCAAAUUAAAUAUAUUUAACAUAAAACGUGAGGGAUAUUGAGAAAAAAAUUCUGAAAAAUUCAGUUAUUUGUUUAGUAUAGGUUUGGGAUGAAUAAUUAAAAAGAAUAUAUAAAAAAAAAUACAAUAAAUUACACGGUAAAAAAAGAAAAUUUUAUAGUAUCCCAACAAAGGAAAAUGGUCAAUAAUUUGGGUAAUUGACAAAAUGCACUACCAUUGAGACAACGAGGUGCCAAUCUAUAGUAUUGAUCUCUUUUAUUUCAAAACUUCUCAUUCAUAUUAUAUUUCCUUAGAAAUAGUUGUAUCUAGAUUUUUUCUUCAUACAGCACAAACUUUAACGUAACAAUUGGUACCAUAUAAUUAUUUUUAAUUAUGAUGUUUUUGUAAAUAUAGUUUAUGUGUACAGAUGCUCGGGAAAAAUGGGGUAAAUCACGUUAUGCAAUUUUUUCUAAUUCUUUUACUUCUAAAACCAGUGUUACUUGCAUCUUUUUGAUGCAUCCAUUCAGAUAAUUAAAUUGCCAUUUGUUUGUUAAUAACCCAUCAAUUGUGGAUAUGGUUUUUUAUUUUCUACACUAGACAGAUCCUAUAAUUCUUAUUUUAUAUAUAUAGAGAGAGAGGUGGGGGAGGAAGGAGGGAGACUUCCCACUCCUAACAUUUUCCUUUGUCUUUAUAUGAUUAUAUUAAAUUUAAACAGUAUACUACACAUCUUUAAAUAAAAUGUAAUGUAUGCAUAGUCCAUAUCACCAUGUUAUGUCUAAAUUUGCAUCAACCAUGAGAAGCCUAGAAACCCCGGGACUCGGAAAAACUAAAGGCAUGUUUGAAACACUUUUCAAUUUUAGUUCUUAAAAAUUUUUUUUUCAAAAUUAUUUUUAAAAAUUAAAAAAGAAAAUUAACAAAAAAUUUGUUUGAUAAACUAAUUUUUAAACACUGUUUUUGAAAAAUAUGAAAAUGAAAAAACUGUGUUUGAUAAUCUAUCUUUUAAUGUAUGUAAGAAGAGAGAAUAAAAUGUUAGUAUUAUGGUCAUUUACUUUUAAAUCUAUUUUAUUGUAUAAAGUAUUACAAACUAAAAAAUUAAUUGAUAUUUGGUCGAAUAACAAAUAAUUUGGGUUAAAUCAAUAUUUUAAUGUUUUAUGAAAUGAAAAACUUGUUGAUGUAACUAUCUUUUAAGUAUUUUAAGAAGAGAAUAAAAAUGUAUAUUAUUUGUUAUUUACUUUUAAAAUCUAUUUUAUUGUAUAAAAUAUUACAAACUUUAAAAAAAUUAAUCUGAUAUUUGGUCGAAAAUUACAAAUAAGGGUCUAAAUCUAAUUUUAAUUUACAAAUCACAUAAACCUUGUUUGUAAUAAGAUACAGAAAAAGAACAAAUAAAAAAUGGGAUUCCACGGUUUAUAAUAGAGAGAAAAAAUUUAUAAGUGAAAAUAAUUAAGAAACACAAAAAAAUUAAGUAAAAUAAAUAACAUAUUUUUGAAAGGUUAAUUAUACAUAAAAGCGCAUAAAUAAAAGAAAUAACAUACUCUUUAAAAUACAGUUUUUUUAUUUUAUUUUAAAAAUAUAAAAAUUAUUUAAAAUUACAUUAAUGCUAUUAUGAAAAUUAUAAAUUUUAUGUUUUUUUUUCAAUUUUUAAACUAAAAACUAAAAAGUACACAAAUUAAACAGUUAUCACUUUUUGCUUUUAAAAACUGAAAAAUAAAAAGAGUUUUUAAUAACACUUUUAUGAAACAUAUAUAUUCAACAAAUUUUUAAAGGUUAAAUUUUCAAAAACUAAAAAAGAGUUUUAAGAUACAUUUUCAAACAUACCAUCUCUGCGAUGCUUGGAGACUCUUUUUUUUAUAAAUUUAUUUAUUUUUUAAUAUAAUAAAUUUAUAAAUAAUUUAUUUUCUUUUCAAAUAAAAUCUUAUUUAUCUUAUAUCAUUAAUUUUAAUAAAUUAAGAAGAUCAAUAAAUUAUUUAUGCAUAAUUAAAUUUAAUAAUAGUCAAACAUAAAAAUAUAUCAUUUAUUAGAAUUACACUAAUUAUAAAAAGGUGUCUUAUAACUUGAAUGAGUCUAAAAUACUUAAAUGGGAGCAGUUGAAUCAUCACAAAUUUUAAACAGUGGCAGUGGCAUUAUUGGUUAAGUUUACAGUGGCAGGUUAUGUAGUUAACAGAUUCAGUUAAGUUAAGUUGUGUUUUAUCCAUUGACAGUUAAGUUUCUUACGGUAAUAGCGGGUUAGUUGAGCUUCAUACAUAACACAGUGUAACAUUCCACUGGGAAAAUUCUUCUCUCCUCUGUCAGUAAUCUCUCAGUCAAUUGUCACGCAGUUAGGCAGCAGUAAGCGCAUAUGAAAAAAAGGGAGAGUAGCGGUGAAGCCGGUGAAGUAAUCAGAGAAGUUCAAGCUAGUAGCAGCAGUAACGCCGCAUGAAAAAAGGAGAGUAAGCCGGUGAAGCCGACGUGAAGUAAUCAGAGAAGUCAGCUAGUAGCAGCAGUAAGCGCAAUGAAUAAAGGGGAGAGUAAGCCGGUGAAGCCGGUAGAAGUCAGAGAAGUCAAUGCAGUUACGCAGUAAGGCGCAAUGAAAGAGAGGGGAAGAGUAAAGCCGGUAAAGCCGUGACGUAUGUAGAGAAGUCAAGCAGCUAGCACAGUAAGCGCAAUGAAAAAAAGGGGAAGAGUAAAGCCGGUGAAGCCGGUGAAAGUAUUAGAGAAAGUCAAGCAGAGCUAGCAGUAAGCGCAAUGAAAAAAAGGGGAAGAGUAAGCCGGUGAAGCCGGUGAAGUAUAGGAAGUCAAGCAGUAGCAGCAGUAAGCGCAUUGAAAAAAGGGAAGAGUAAAGCCGGUGAAGCCGGUGAAGCCGUGGUGAAGUAUCAGAGAAGUCAAGCAGUAGAGUGUAGCGCAAUGAAAAAAGAGGGAGAGUAAAGCGUGAAGCCGUGAAGAUCAGAGAAGUCAGCAGAGCUUAGCAGUAAGCGCAAUGAAAAAAGGGGAAGAGUAAGUCGUGAAGCGUGAAGACAGAGAGUCAAGCAGUGCAGAGUAGCAUGAAAAGGAAAAGGGAAGCGUGAAGAUCGAGAGGCAAGGAGUCGCAUAAGCCAUGAAAAGGGGAGAAGUAAAGUUGGCGGCCGUGACCAUAGAAGUAGCAGUAGCAGCAAUAAGCUAUGAAAGGAAGAGUAAAACCGGUGAAGCCGAAGUGAGUCAAAGUAAGCGUGAGCGCGAAGAAGAGUAACGGUCGAGAAGCAAGAGUAGCAGAGCAUGAAAGGAGGUACCGGUAAGCCGAAGUAUCAAGAAGUCAAGCAGUGCGCUGUGGAAGAAAAAGGGAAUGGGGAGUAUAAAGCAAGCUUAGGAUAGCGAUGCAGGGAGAAAGCCGGGAUAGGCGUCGAGUACGAGUAACCAAUGAAAAAGGAAGAGUGGCCAAGUUCAGAAGUCAGCAGAGCAGUAGCGCAAUGAAAAAAAGGGGGAAGAGUAAAGCCGGUGAAGCCGGGAGUUCAGGAAGGUAACAGUAGCUAGGCAAAAAAGGAAAGAAACGGUGAGCGUGAGUACGGAGUCAAGCAGUAGCAGCAGUAAGCGCAAAAAAGGAGAGCGGUAAAGCCGUGAGUAUCAAGAAGUCGAGAGCAGCGUAACGCAUAAGGGGUAAGCGUGAAGCCGGUGAAGUAUCGAGAUACGCAGUCUAAGCAAGGGGGAUAAGGUGGCCGGAAGUACAGAAAAGUUCAAGCAUAGCACAUCUAAAGGAAUAACCAAGAGUGAGAGCAGAGGUUUCAGAGUAGAGCGACGAAUGUAAGGGGUAAGCCGUAGGGAGUAUCAAGUCCACAGUAGCGAAUAAGCGCAGAAAAGGAAGUCGAAGCGUAUCAAAGAAGUAGCAGACAGCAGUAACGCAAAGGAACCGUGAGCCGUAGAAGAAAGUCAGAGUAGAGCCGUAGGCAUAAAAAAGGGAGUAAGCGGGAAGCGGAAGUCGAGAAGUCCGCAGUAGUAGCCAAGAAGGGAGAAAACCGGGACGUGAAGUAUCGGAGUCGCAAGUCGCGCGAAGCAAAAAGGGAUAAAGCGUAGCUAAGUUCGGAGUCAAGCAGCAGAAGAUGAAAAAAAGGGGAAGAGUAAAGCCCGGUGCCGGUGAAGAAUCAAGAAUCAGCUAGACAGUAGGCAAGCAAAAGGAGAUUAAGCGUGAAGACGAAAGCAGUAAGAGCGCAGAAAGAGUAAAGCGUGAACCGUGAAGAAGAGAAGUCAAGCAAGUAGCACAAACGCAAUGAAGGGAUAAGCGGGCCCGGUGGACAAGAAUACAGUACAAUGCAUACAAGGGAGAGUUACGUAAGCCGUGAAGUAUCAAAAGCACAGAAGCAGUAAGCGCAUAAAAGAAGAGAAACCUGAAGCAGAAGUCAAAGCAGAGCAGCAGUAAGCCGUAAGGAAGAAGCGGUGACCGCUGAAGUAUCAGAGUCACAGUAGAGAGUAACGGCAUGAAAACGAAGAAGUCGUUGAGCCGGGAAGUAUCAAAGCACAGUAGCAGCAGUAAGCGCAAUGAAAAAAAGGGACGAGAAAGCGUGAGGCUGAAGUUCGAAAUCAAGGUAGAGCAAAGGCAAUAAAAUGAUAAGCGGUGAAGUUGGAGUCGUUAGCACCAAAGUUAAACGAUGAAAGGGAAACCGGUAAGCGAAGUAAUGAGAAGUAGCGAGCAGCGUAAGCGCAAUAAAGGAAGAUAAAGCGGUAAGGGAAGAUGAGAAGUCAGCAGUAGGUAUAAAAAAAGCCGGUGAAGGCCGGAGUUCAGGAAGUAAGAGUAGAGAUAACGCGAAGGAAGAGUAAGCCGAAGCCGAAGUUCGAGCAGCAGUACAGUAAGCGCAAUGAAGGAAAUAAACAGACCGGUGAAGAUCAGGAGUAGCAUAGACAGAACCAAUAAGAAGAAACGGAGUAUAAAGAAGCAUGCAGUGUAACCGAUAAAAAGGGGAAAGAUCCGACCGGUGAAAUCAGAAGUAAGCGUAGGCGAAGCAAAAGGAAGUAAGUCGGUGAUUUAGAGAGUUCAAUGCAAUAACAAUGAAAAAGAGGAAGAGUAAAGCCGUGAAGUCAAAAAGUCAAGCACGGUGGCAUGAAAGGGAAGAAGUAUAACGGAAGCCGGAACGUCAGAGAAUCAAGCAGUAGCAGCGUUAGGCUGAUAAAAGGGAGUAAAUGUGAAGGGACAGGCAAAUGAGCAGAAGCGAAUGAAAAGGGAAGAAGUAACCGUUGAAGCGUGGUGAAGUUAUAGAGAGUCAAGCAUAGCAGUCAGUAGGCAAUGAUAAAAAGGGGAAGAGUAAGGCCGGUGGAAGCCGCUGAAGUAUCAGAGAAGUCAAGCUAGUCUAGCAGCAGUAAGCGCAAUUGAAAAAGGGAGAGUAAAGCCUGAGCGUUGAAGUAUCAGAGAAGUCAAGCCAGUAGCAGCAGUAGCGCAAUGAAAAAAAGGGGAAGAGUAAAGCCGGUGAAGCGGUGAGUAUCCAGAGAAGUCAAGCAGUAGCAGCGUAAGCGAAUGAAAGAAGGGAAGAAGUAAAGCGGUGAAAGCCGGUGCAGUAUCAGAGAAAUCAAGCAGUAGCAUGCAGUAAGCGCAUCUAUGAAAAAAAGGGGAAGAGUAAAGCCGGUGAACGCCGGUGAAAGUAUCAGAGAAGUCAAGCAGUAGCAGCAGUAAAGCGCAAUGAAAAAAAGGGAAGAGUAAACCCGGUGAGCGGUGAAGUAUCACGAGAAGUCAAGCAUAGGCAGCAGUAAGCGCAAUUGGAUAAAAAGGGGAGAGUCAAGCCGGUUAGGGCCGGGUAAGUAUCAGAGAGUCAAGGCAGUAGCAGCAGUAAGCGCAAUGAAAAAAGGGGAAGAGUAGCGGUGAGCCGGUGAAGUUAUAGAGAAGCAAGCGAUAGCAGCAAGUAAAGCCGCAAUGAAAAAAAGGGAAGAGUAAAGCCGGUAGCGGUUGAGAGUUAUCAGAGAAGUUCAAGCAGUAGCAAAGCAGUAAGGCGCAUUGAAAAAAGGGGAAGAAGUAAAGCGCGUGAAGCGUAUCAGAGAAAUCAAGCAGAGUAGCAAGCGUAAGCGCCAACUGAAACAAGGGAAGAGUAAAGCCGGUUUGAGCCUGUAAAGUAUCAGAGAAGUCAAGCAGUAGCACAGUAAGCGCAAUGAAAAAAGGGGAAGUAGAAGAGGUAAAGCCGGGAAGUAUCAGAGGAAUCAAAGCAGUAGCAGCAGUAAGCGCAAUGAUAAAAGGGAGAGUAAAGCCGGUGAAGCGUGAAGUAUCAGAGAAUCAGCAGUAGCAGCAGUAAGCGCAAUAUGAAAAGGGGAGAGUAACUUGAAAGCCGGUGAGUAUCAGAGAAGUCAAAGCAGUAGCAGCAGUAAGCGCAAUGAAAAAGGGGGAAGAGUAAAGCCGGUGAGCCGUGAAGUAUCAGAGAAGAUCAGAGCAGUAGCAGCAAGUGAAGCGCAUGAAAAAAAGGGAAGAGUAAAGCCGUGAGGUGAAGUAUCAGAGAACGUCAAGAGUAGCAGCAGUAAGCGCAAUGAAAAAAAAGGGAAGAAGUAAAGCCGGUGAAGCCGCUUGAGUAUCGAGAAAGUCAAGCAGUAGCAGCCGUAAGCCGCAAUGAAAAAAAGGGGAAGAGUAGCGAAGCCCGGUGAAAGAUUCAGAGAAGUCAAGCAGUAGCACGCAGUCAAGCGCAAUGAAAAAAAGGAAGAGUAGCCGGUGGAAGCCGGUGAAGUAUCAGAGAAGUCAAGCGUAGCAGCCGUAGCGCAAUGAAAAAAAGGGGAAGAGUAAAGCCGUGAAGCCGGUGAAGUAUCAGAGAAGUCAAGCAGUAGCAGCAGUAACGCAAUGAAAAAAGGGAGAGUAAAGCCGAUGAAGCCAGUGGUAUCAGAGAAGUCAGCAGUAGCAGCAGUAAGCGCAAUGAAAAAAGGGGAAGAGUAAGUCGGUGAACCGUUAGUAUCAGAGAAGUCAAGCACAGUAGCAGCAGUAAGCGCAAUAAAAAGGGGAGAGUAAAGCCGAUGAAGCGUGAAUAUCAGAGAAGUCCAAGCUAGUAGCAGCGUUAAGCGCAAUGAAAAAAAAGGGGAGAGUUAAAGUUCGGUGAAGUUAGAGAAGUCAAGCAGUAGCAGCAGGAAGCGCAAUGAAAAAAAGGGAGAAGUAAAGCCGGUGAAGUAAGUAUCAAGAGAAGUAAGCAGUAGCAGCAGUAAGCGCAAUGAAAAAAAAGGGGAAGAGUUAAAGCCGGUGAAGCCGGUAAGUAAUCAGAGAAUUCAGCAGGUAGCAGCAGUAAGCGCAAUUGAAAAAAAGGGGAAGAGUAAAGCCGGUGAAGCGUGAAGUAUCAGAGAGAAGUCAAGCAAGUAGAGCAGUAAGCGCAAUGAAAAAAAGGAAGAGUUUUAAAUCCUUGAAGCCCGGUGAAGUUAUUAGAGAAUCACGCCAGUCGAGCAGCAGUAGCGCAAUGAAAAAAAGGAAGGUAAGCCGGUGAAGCCGCUGAAGUAUAGAGAAGUCAAGCAAAGUAGCAGCAGUAAGGCAAUGGAAAAAAAGGAAAGCAGCAAGAGUAAGCCGAGUGACGUAUCAGAGAAGUCAGCAAGUAGCAGCGUAAGCGCAAUGAAAAAGGGGAGAGUAAGCCUGAAGCCGGUGAGUACAGAGAAGUCAAAAGCUAAGUAUUUAGCAAGCGUAAGCCAAUGAAAAAAAGGAAGAGUUUUAAGCCGGUGAAAGCCGCGUGAAGUUCGAGAAAUCAAGCAAGUAAAUAGUAGCGCAGUCAAGCGCAAUGAAAGAAAGGAAAGUAAAGCCGGUUGAAAGCGGUAAAGUUCAGAAAGUAAGGCAGUUGCAGCAGUAAGCGCAAUGGAAAAAAAAGGGAGAGUAAACCCGGUGAGCCAGUGAAAGUAUCAGAGAAAGAAGUCAAGCAGUAGGCAGCAGUAAGCGCAAUGAUAAAAAGGGGAGAGUAAAGCCGGUGAAGCCGGUGAAAGUAGCAGAGAAGUCAAGCAGUAGCAGCAGAUAACGCAAUGAAAAAAAGGAAGAGUAAAGCCGUGGAAGCCGGUGAAGUAUCAGAGAGUCAAGCACUAGCCAGCAGUAAGCGCAAUGAAAAAGGGAAGAGUAAAGCGGUCUAGGCGGUGAGUAUCAGAGAAGUCAAGCAGUAGCCAGCGAUAAGCGCAAUGAAAAAGGGGAAAGAGUAUAGCGGUGAAUAUCCGAGAAGUCAAGCACGGGUAGCAGCAGUAGCGCAAUGAAAAAAAGGGGAAGAGUAAAGCCGGUGAAGCCGCGUGAGUAUCAGAGAAGGUCAAGCAGUAGCAACUUAGCCAAUGUGGAAAAAAAGGAAGAGUAAAGGCGCGGUGAAGCCGGUGAAGUAUCAGAGAAUCAAGCGUAGCAGCAGUAAGCGCAAUUUGAAAAAGGGGAAGAGUAAAGCGGUGAAGCGGUGAAGUAUCAGAGAAGUCAAGCUAGCAGCAGUGCGCCAAUGAAAAAGGGAAGAGUAAAGCCAGGUGAUGUUAUCAGGAAGUCAAGCAAGUAGCGCAGUAAGGGGCGCCAUAUGAUAAAAGGGGAAGAGUAAAGCCGGUGAAGCCGGUGGAAACGUAUCAGGAGAAAUAGUAGAGCAGUAGCAGCAGUAAGCGCAAUGAAAAAAGGGGAAGAGUAAAGCCGUUGAAGCGCGGUGAAGUAAUCAGAGAGUCAAGCAGUAGCAGCAGUAUAGCGCAAUGAAAAAAAGGGGAAGAGUAAAGCCGGUGAAGCCGCUGAGUACAGAGAAGUCAACAGUAGCAGCAGUAAGCGCAAUGAAAAAAAGUGGAAGAGUAAAGCCGGGUUGAGAUCGAGACGUCAGCAGUAGCCAGCAGUAAGCGCAAUGAAAAAAAGGGGAAGAGUAAAGCCUGUGAAAGCCGGUGAAGUAUCAGAGGAAUCAAGCAGUUAGCAGCGGUAAGCGCGCAAUGAAAAAGAGGAAGAAUAAAGCCGGUGAGCCGGUGACAGUAUCAGAGAAGUCAAGCAGUAGCAGCAGUAGCGCAAUGAAAAAAGGGGAAGAGUAACAGCCGGUGAAGCCAGUGAAGUAUCAGAGAGUCAAGCAGUAGCAAGCAGUAAGCGCAAUGAAAAAAAAAGGGGAAGAGAAAAGCCGGUUGAGCCGGUGAGUAUCAGAGGAAAGUCAGCAGUGGCAGCAGUAAGCGCCAUGAAAAAAGGGGAAGGUAAAAGCCGAUGAAGCCGGUGAAGUAUCAGAGAAGUCAAGCCAGUAGCAGCAGUUAGCGAGGAAGAAAGGGGAAAGAGUAGUCGGCGUGAAGUUAUUAGAGAGUCAAGCGAGUAGCAGCAGUAAGCGCAAUUGAAAAAAAGGGAAGAUAAGCCGGUGGAGCCGGGUGGAAGUAUCAGAGAAGAUCACAGCUAGUCGUAGCAGCAGUAAGCGCAAUGAAAAAAAGGGGAAGAGUAAAGUCGGUGAAGUAGAGGAGUCAGCAGUUCUAGCAGCAGUAAGCGCAAUGAAAAAAAGAGGAAGAGAAGUGUGAAUAUCAAAGAAGUCAGCAGUAGCAGCAGUAAGCAGCAUGCAAAAAAGGAGAGUAAGGGUGAAGCCGGUGAAGUAUCAGAGAAUCAAGCCAGGAGCAGCAGUAAAGCGCAGAUGGAAAAAAAAGGGGAGAGUAAAAGCCGGUCUGAAGCGGUUGAAGUAUCGAGACAAUCAGCUAGCAGCCAGUAAGCGCAAUGAAAAAAGGGGAAGAGUAAAGCCGUAGAAGCGGUGAAGUAUUAGAGAGUCAACAGUAAAAUUGCUGCAGUAAGCGCAAUGAAAAAAAGGGGAGGAGUAAAGCGGUGAAGCGCUGAAGUAUCAGAGAAGGUCAGCAAGUCAGCAGCAGUAAGCGUAAUGAAAAAGGGAGAAAGUAAAGGCCGGUGGAAGUAUCGAAGAAGUUAAGCAAGUAUAGCAGCAGUAAGCGCAAUGAAAAAAAGGGAGAGUAAAGCCGGCUGAAGCCGGUGAAGUAUCAGAGAAGUCAAGCAGUAGCAGCAGUAAGCGCAAUUGAAAAAGGGGAAGAGUAAAGCGUGAAGCGGUGAAGUAUCAGAGAAAUCAAGCCAAGUUGCAAAGAAAAAAAAAAAAAAAAAAAGCAGUUAAGCGCAAUGAAAAAAAGGGGAGAGUAAGCCGGUGAGCGCGGUGAGUAUCAGAGAAGUUCAAGCAGUAGCAGCCAGUUAAGCGGCAAUGAAAAAAAGUGAGAGUUAACCGGGUGAAGCCAGUGGAUCAGAAGAAGUCAAGCAGUGGCAGCAGUAGAGCGGCAUGAUAAAAAGGGGAAGAAGUAAAGCCGGUGAAGCCGGUGAAGUAUCAGAGAGUUUUCAAGCAGUAGCAGCAGUAAGCGCGAUUGAAAAAAAGCGGGAGAGUAAAGCCGGUGAAGUCGGUGAGUAAUCAGAGAAGUCAAGCCGUUAGCAGCAGUAAGCGCAAUGAAAAAACAAGGGAGGAGUAAGGCGGUGAAAGCGGGAAGUAAUCAGAGAAUUCAAGCAGUUAGCACAGUAAGCGCAAUCCGAAAAAGGGGAGAGUAAAGCCGGUGAGCCGGUGAAGUAUCAGAGAAGUCAGCUAAGUAGCAGCAGUAAGCGCAAUGAAAAAAGGGUAAAGAGUAAAGCCCGGUUGAGCCGGUGAAGUAUCAGAGAAAGAGAAAAUAUAUCCUCCAGAAGAAACUAUAAUCCGCCAAGAGUUACAGCGCCAAAAGAGUGCUAAAAGAGUUACAAGACUGUCAACCAAAAAAAACGUCUGGAAUGAAAAAGAGUGAGGUUUGUAAAAGAUGCAAUCAAAGCUUUCAUAUGGAAUAGGCACUAGUAAGGGCAUAGAAAUGGUUGUAAAUGAAGAGAGAAAGAUGAAAACAAAGCGGAAAGGUGUAAUGCUAGAGAAACAGGUCCAAUCCAGCAAGAAGAAGACAGAAUGAACAAAGGGCAAGGGUAAAUGCUACAGAAACAGGUGUCAAAUCCGCAAAGAGAACACAGAUGAAAACAAGGGAAGGGCAAGCUGAAAUGUGAUACUCAAAUUAACCUGCAUGUUCGCAUGUCAGCUUUUAUUUCAUUGUUUUCAUUUUGUAUGGAGAUAUGAUGUUUCAUUUCUUUUUUCAUAUUUUGGAUAUUACAAAUUCAUUGGAACGUUUUCUUUCUUCCAUUUUUACAUUCUUUUAUACUCUUUCUGUUAUAUUAAACAUUGUAAUGCUACCAAUUUGAUAUUACAUAAUUGUUCUUAAUAUGUAUAUUCGCCAAAUCAUGAGAAUCUCUUUUCUCAACUUUUCCAUUUCAUUAUGCGUCUUGACUUUGAAAUUAUCUUUCUUCAAUGUAUUUAUGGAGAUCACAAGAUGCAAACAAAUGUAAUUGAUUACAAAGAGACUAGGCUGAAGAUUAAUUUGAGCCUAUUGCUUCCUUCUGAGAAAUAUUAUGGACAGAGACGCAUGACCGAUAUAUUUCACAUGGAAUGCCUUAUAGCACAAGAGUUCUGAUGUUGAAGUAAAUUCAUACGGACGGAUUACUCAAUUGAAUCACAAUAUUAACUAUGUGUACGAGAAUUGUGUUUUGGGUCUGAAAAUUUUAUUUGUAACACGUUUCUUGUGCAAUGCGAAUGCAGUUGCCAAAACGGAAGUCAAUGUAUAGCACUUUCAGUAGGCAGGUCUGUGGGAGCGUCUGCAACAGGUUUGGGUCUAGGUUCUGAGCAAAUCGCAUUAUGUCUAUCUGUAGUUAGCUUGGAUGAUAUGUUUGAAUUUAGAACUGCUCUUUGUUUUUGACAUAACAUAAUGAUUAAAAGGUUUUGUAUUUGUCUGCCUCUUCUACAAACAUGGCUUCAUAGUCUCAUCAGAAACCCACCAGAAAGAGGCUNAGGAACCACAUGAAGAAGUUGAAUAAUUUUCCAAGCAUUACCCCCUACACUAAAUAUUUCGACUUUGUUGGGACUCAAAGAUAGAAUCUUAUAAGUAUCGGUUGAAUUAUCAUAACCAAAUGAAAAGCGGGAAGACCUGCGAUAGUCAUAUGCAUUUUGGUGAGGAUUGGAGUGAUGUCCAAAGUAGACAGAAAAUGUGUGGGCGGCUGGGUUCCAUAAUUGAAACCAGGUGUAUUGAAGAUCUGUUGAAGAAAUAACACUGAAACAUAUCAAUCCAUUGCAGGAACCAAUGAAUUCGUAGCAAUUGUCGACGCUGGCUGAGAUGUAUUGUUUGGUGUACUUUAUCAUGGAAGGAUUGUUUAGUAAAGUAUUGAGGGGAUAGGGUUGGAUAACAGAUUCCUGAGACACGCCUAAGAUUUGUGUGAGAUUCUUUUUUUUUUUUGAACGUUGAAGAUGCAGUUUGAUAAAUUUUGGAUCGGAGAUGAUGGCGUUCCAUGCUUUGGUCACGCAUCUCAGUUGCGUCAAAGAUCUAACCGGAAGGUAUGACAGAACUUGUAAGAUGAGUUCUUCGGGAAGGAAUAAUAGAUUGCCGUUGGAUUUCAUCACAACUUGCGCACUCUUAAAACUGAAAUAGAAAUAGAAAGCUGAACCCUAAUAAACGUAAACAAGCUGUUACUCAUUUAAAUAGGGUUUCUUAAAAUGUUUUUUUUAUAUGUUUGUAUCCUUUAAUUUUUAUGUGAGCCCAACCAACAUGCAAAUUCGCCUUUUUGUUUUCUAUAUUUUUUUAAACCAUUCUAAGGAAUACACUAGUGGUAUUAUUUUAAGAUUUUAAAUAAUAUUAUAUAUUUUAAUUUNUUUUUUUUAUAUGUUUGUAUCCUUUAAUUUUUAUGUGAGCCCAACCAACAUGCAAAUUCGCCUUUUUGUUUUCUAUAUUUUUUUAAACCAUUCUAAGGAAUACACUAGUGGUAUUAUUUUAAGAUUUUAAAUAAUAUUAUAUAUUUUAAUUUUUAAUAUCUAUAAAAUUUUACAUAAAUUUUUAUUAUAGAAAGCGAUACAGAACCAUAUAUAAAUAAAAAUAAAAGCUUACAAAAUAUAGAAAAAGUAAUCGAGCGUGUAUAUAGACCAAUAUAUUUAGCAAAAGUCCAAGUCAAAACAUCAAUAAAAAAUUGCCUAACCACAAAAAAAAAAGGAAAAACUAUUACAAAUAUAUUCAAAUAAUAAUGACAAAUAAAUUCAAAUUACCUCAUUUUUUAUAUUACGUUCAUUCCUUACAAACUUUCAUAUUCUAAAUCAUAUUUAAUGAUGUUUUUAUGUCAACACUAUCAAAUAUAUUAUUGAGUUUUGAUGUCUACCAUAAUUUAUAUCUAAAUAUUUUGUGAUUCAAAAUUGAAAUUUAUUAAAAUAAAAUUAAAAACAAAUACUCUAUUUACUCGUAAAUUACUUUUUCUGUUCAUCAUGUCUCCCUUUUUCUAGAAAAAACAAAUACUCUAUUUACUCGUAAAUUACUUUUCCCUUUUUCUAGAAGCUAAAUAAUCCCCGAAGCAAAUUACUCAAACCCUAGCCGCAUAACAUUUAAAAAAAAAAUCUCAACAUCAACCACAAUCAACUAUAAUUAGUCUGAAAUCCUAAAGCCUAGGAGAAAAAUAGGGGCUUCGGUGGUGAGAAGAUUGAUAUGAAAGGAAUAAGUCUCACCGGAGCUUCGCAACUCCGGCGAGAUCCCGACGGUCGAAGAAAUACCUCAGGUAAAGGAUUGCGACUCUUACUCUUUAGCUCCAAGUCCUCGACUUCUUCUCCCCUUCUUCUUCAAAUCUUCACCCUCUACUCGUCAAAGCGCUUUUUCUAAUGAACUGCGAUUUCGUCCAGGUUGAUUGAGCUUUGGUGUGUAGGUUGGGAUGUGAUUUCAGCAGGGUGACGGUGCCAGAAGGGAGAGGCCUUUCAAUGAAUGAGCGCUCCCUUUUAUAGAGUUCAAUACGAGGUUCAAUCCGCUCCUCCUUCAUGAGCUGGCAAAUCUUUGGAUGAAUCAAUCCGUUAGCCAAAAGAAUCUCGUCCAGAUUUGGUGGUCCUCCCUUUUGACGUGGACCCCAAAAUGAAGGUAUU